GCUAGCGGCAGGCCUAACACAUGCAAGUCGAGGGGUAACAGAGAAGCUUGCUUCUGCUGACGACCGGCGCACGGGUGCGUAACGCGUAUGCAACCUACCUUAUACAGGAGAAUACCCCUUGGAAACGAGGAAUAGUGCUCCAUAGUAUCAUCACUUCGCAUGUUGAGAUGAUUAAAGAAUUUCGGUAUAAGAUGGGCAUGCGUCCCAUUAGCUUGUUGGUGAGGUAACGGCUCACCAAGGCUACGAUGGGUAGGGGGCCUGAGAGGGUGGUCCCCCACACUGGUACUGAGACACGGACCAGACUCCUACGGGAGGCAGCAGUGAGGAAUAUUGGUCAAUGGAGGCAACUCUGAACCAGCCAUGCCGCGUGAAGGAUGACGGCCCUAUGGGUUGUAAACUUCUUUUGAAUAGGAAGAAACUUAUCUACGUGUAGAUAACUGACGGUACUAUUAGAAUAAGGAUCGGCUAACUCCGUGCCAGCAGCCGCGGUAAUACGGAGGAUCCAAGCGUUAUCCGGAUUCAUUGGGUUUAAAGGGUCCGUAGGCGGGUCUUUAAGUCAGUGGUGAAAGCCGACAGCUCAACUGUCGAACUGCCAUUGAUACUGGAGACCUUGAGUACAAAUGAAGUAGGCGGGAAUGAGUCAUGUAGCGGUGAAAUGCAUAGAUAUGACUCAGAACACCGAUUGCGAAGGCAGCUUACUAACAUGUAACUGACGCUGAGGGACGAAAGCGUGG
rnacentral:rRNA from 1 species